UACGGAGGGUGCGAGCGUUGUCCGGAAUCACUGGGCGUAAAGGGCGCGUAGGCGGUCGGGUAAGCGUGUGGUGAAAGCUCGGGGCUCAACCCCGAGUCGGCCGUGCGAACUGCCGGACUUGAGCACUGUAGAGGCAGGUGGAAUUCCGGGUGUAGCGGUGGAAUGCGUAGAGAUCCGGAAGAACACCAGGGGCGAAGGCGGCCUGCUGGGCAGUGGCUGACGCUGAGGCGCGACAGCGUGGGGAGCAAACAGG
rnacentral:rRNA from 1 species